GUUUUUUCAUUUUUGUAGUAGGAAAGAUGGCGUCGAAAGGAUAGAACCGGUGGGACCGGUGGUAGAAAACGAGACUGACGGACGCGGACGCGUAUCGUUUCGUCCAAAGUUCCGUAGCCAAAUCUGCACAGAUGAAAACCCAAUGACCAGUACGGCGGCAUAAAAGGCUUACCAAUCACCCGAGAAUAUUGCUCGAUCACUUGCGAGGGUGACGGUCCCAUGAAGGAAUAAAAAUCGAAGAUGCCACCGAUGCUUCUAUACGUUAUAGCCGGAGUCGGUUGGAGAAUAACGUCUCUUUGUAAAUACUCCAGUCCUGCGGAUAAUAACAGUAAGGCACGUCUAGAGGAAGUUUGCGCAAUCUCUGGGAAUAUCUUCUCUUCGUGGGACUCCAACAACAACCUCUAUCCGUACACGACAGUUCGGAGGCACCAUC